GCACCGGACAAAGACGGUGCCGGGUUUGGCGACCUGGUAGAAGCAAAAGGCGCACUGGCCGCGCAAGCGGCUUUUUC
rnacentral:sRNA from 1 species